GACGAACGCUGGCGGCGUGCCUAAUACAUGCAAGUAGAACGCUGAAGAGAGGAGCUUGCUCUUCUUGGAUGAGUUGCGAACGGGUGAGUAACGCGUAGGUAACCUGCCUUGUAGCGGGGGAUAACUAUUGGAAACGAUAGCUAAUACCGCAUAACAAUGGAUGACACAUGUCAUUUAUUUGAAAGGGGCAAUUGCUCCACUACAAGAUGGACCUGCGUUGUAUUAGCUAGUAGGUGAGGUAAUGGCUCACCUAGGCGACGAUACAUAGCCGACCUGAGAGGGUGAUCGGCCACACUGGGACUGAGACACGGCCCAGACUCCUACGGGAGGCAGCAGUAGGGCAUCUUCGGCAAUGGGGGCAACCCUGACCGAGCAACGCCGCGUGAGUGAAGAAGGUUUUCGGAUCGUAAAGCUCUGUUGUAAGUCAAGAACGGGUGUGAGAGUGGAAAGUUCACACUGUGACGGUAGCUUACCAGAAAGGGACGGCUAACUACGUG
rnacentral:rRNA from 1 species